rnacentral:tRNA from 1 species
GUGGGAAUAGCUCAACUGGUAGAGCGCCGUCCUUCCAAGUCGGAUGUUGCGGGUUCGACUCCCGUUUCUCACUCCA